AUGUGAAAUUAGAAUAAUUGGAUCAUAGUAAUUAGGAAAUUUUAGCUGUACAAAUAGCAUCUUUGCAGAAAACAUGUUAGCAUGAUGAUUCCACUUGCAUUAGUAUUCUUCCGGUUAAUUUUUUAACUGUUAUUGUGAACUUGUUAAUUUGCUAAUUGUUCUUGUGUUCUUCUGUUACUUUUAUUUUUUUUUGGUUUUGUUGUGAUUUUCUGUCCUUGAAUUUGUUAAGUUGAUAAUUUGCUAAAUUGUUGGGCUGCUGUUGUUUUAAUUUGUCAAAUUGUUAGGUUGCUGCGACUUAAUUUGUUGGAUUUUCUAUUUAGGUCUUGUUCUUGUUUAUUUGCUAAAUUGUUGUUGUGUAUUUAUUAUCUAUUUGCUGGAUAUUGUUGAUCAUUGUCUUUGAGAUUAUUUACUAUGCAGGUUUAGUGUCAUCACUGUUUUGGAAUGUUUAGUGUGAUUAUUGGUUAAUGUUUUGUAAUGUUUGGUGCUGAAUGCUGAUUGUUGAGUUCAGAUAUGGUUAUUUAUUUUGACUUGGGUAAAGAGACUUAUGGUCAUUUUUUCCUGCCUUAUACCGAUUCAGAUGAUUAUUUUCAGAGGAUGAGCACUUAUUUAUGUAUCUUGAGAAACUGUCUUUCUGUGUGUUAUGAGCAUUUGGUGAAGCCUGUAUUUUACCUAUUCAAAGCUUAGUUUUACCAAAUGGUCUUCAAAGCAACUCAUCCAAAAUGCUACUGCACAAAUCCAAGUCUAUUGUCUCUAAAAGUCUGUAUGCACCUUCAUUUGGUGAAGCCUUUCUAGCACUAGUCCACUACCAACUUUGUUAUUAAUAAUGUUAUCAAAUUUAUUUAUCCGAGUACUAUGUUUAUUUUUUAGUUGGAUUUAUGAUAAUUCAUUUGAUAUUCUUCCUAUUUUUGUCAGAUAUUUCCUUUAACAUUUUGUAUAUUGAUGAGGAAUUGUACUUGCUUGGUAUCAUGCUUUCAUCUGGCAUUUUUGCAUUUAAUAUAAAAAAA